AAUUGUCCAUCGAAAUCCUUUCAAGGAUAUUCUAAGAUUUAGUGUUUUUUGCAAUAAACUCCUGCUAUUGAUAUCUGGAGUAUAGGAUGUAUAUUUGCGGUAAUUCUCACGGGCAAACCAUUGUUUCCUGGGAAGAAUGUUGUCCACCAACUGGAUCUCAUAACUGAACUUCUUGGUUCACCUUCUUCUGAAUGCCUUUCCAGGGUAAGUUCCAUCUUUAAUUAGUUAGUUAACUUAUCUUUGAGAAGAUUCUGGUCACAUUAUUAGUUUUCAAAAAUUUGUAUCUCAUGAUAAUUAGCAACAGAUUAUUUCAGAACGUAUGAAAUAAACGAAGCUUAUCAUUUGACAAUUUGACCUUUUUUCUACCUACAGAUUCGAAAUGAGAAGGCACGAAGAUAUUUAAGUAGCGUGAAAAGGAAAGCACCUGUUCCUCUCUCACAAAAGUUUCCAAAUGUUGAUCCACUGGCUCUUCGUUUACUUGAACGUUUGAUAGCAUUUGAUCCCAAAGAUCGUCCAUCUGCUGAAGAGGUGAGAUUUAGUAAAUCAAAUAUGUUGUUUCACAUUUCCUUCAGUUGAUAAAUGCAAUAUCAGUAUUUAGGACGGGUUCAUUGAUACUAUCAAUUAUUUCUAACUGCAGGCAUUGGCAGAUCCAUAUUUUUAUGGUUUGGCAAAUGUCAAAGAUGAAUCAUCAACUCAACCAAUUUCAAAAUUUGAGUUUGAAUUUGAAAGGAGAAAUUUAACAAAAGAUGAUGUAAGAGAGCUAAUCUACAGGGCGGUAUGAACAUUGCUAGUGAUCUUUAGGCCAAUAUGGUAUAUCUGUGUUAGCUGUUAGCUAUUACUUACAUUGUAUCUUAACGAAGCAAACAGAUCUUGGAGUAUCAUCCCCAGAUGCUCCAGGAAUACCUCCGUGGCGUGGACCAGACUCACUUUAUGUAUCCAAGGUUUGACAAUCAAAAGAAUUCUCCUCAACUUCUAGUUUGAUACAAGACAUUUUUGAGACGUUGCUUAAUCAAAUACAACAUAAAUUUUCUGUUCUCAUUUUUCUAAUGUAUCCAUUUAUAACUAAUCAAUAUAUCUUUUUCACCAAAUCUCCAAUACUUUUUCGAUCCAAGCUCCUAAUCACUCUGAUCUUUCUUUUAUGUAUACUUCCACUGAUCUAUCUCUAAAUGAUUUUCUAAUGAUUGAGAUUGGCUUCUUUCCUUGGACUAUGGGUAUUUGACUCUUGGUGGGCUGGAUUGGUAGCUGGGAGCAUCACUUCUCAAGGCAGAAUCUGCAAUUUAGUGCUUGUUUGGAUUGCAUUAUUAAGUUAAUGAAAUGAUAAUGUGAUAGGAGUGAGUAUUUGAUAAGUGGGUAUAGUUGUGGAUCCUACAAAAUGUGUGGUAAAAAUUAAAGUUUGACCCUUAAAUUUAAUGUAAUUAUUAUCAGUCGAAACAAGCACUUGAUUAUGGGAGAAAAAGAGAGGAAUCAUUGGGUCCAAACAUGUUCACUGUUCAGCGUUAAUAUAUUUACAUGAUAUUUGGACCGAAGUGUUUCUUAGAGUACUAGAGACUACUAUAUGAAAGCUGCACAUUGCCCCACUUCAAAUGAUGAUACUAUGGCAUCCAUGUGAAUCAACAAAAGCAUUUUCACUGGUUUAAUUUUUUUUAAAGCUGGUAGUUCUUGCCAACAAUCCAUGAAGGAUGGUAGUUGACAUGUCAUUUUACUUUUAAAGAAACUAACUGAGAUAUCUAAUAUUCUGUGGUGUUAUUAUUUUAAGGAUGAAAUGCACAUUCUAUAUCACAGUUUUUGUGCUUCAGUUUACACUUGGUCUUUUGUAUUAAAUUCGGCAGCAAUGCAAUGAGUUUUGCUUGUUUCAAUAUGAUGUCUUUCACAUUAUGCUGUGUUAUCAUCUGAGUAAGAGACUGCAGAUAAUUAUGGCUUGCUGAAGAAUAUUGACUUAUAUUAUUUCAGUGGAGUUGAUCAAUUUAAGCAACAAUUUGUCCAACUUGAGGAGCAUUCUGGUAAAGUAGAAAGAGCUCCAAUUCGAAGGCGUUAUGCCUCCUUGCC
rnacentral:lncRNA from 1 species